AGAGUUUGAUCCUGGCUCAGGAUGAACGCUGGCGGCGUGCCUAACACAUGCAAGUCGAGCGAAGCGCUUGAAUCUGAUUCUUCGGAUGAGGAUUCUUGUGACUGAGCGGCGGACGGGUGAGUAACGCGUGGGCAACCUGCCUUACACAGGGGGAUAACAGUUAGAAAUGACUGCUAAUACCGCGUAAGACCGCAGUACCGCAUGGUACAGCGGUAAAAACUCCGGUGGUGUAAGAUGGGCCCGCGUCUGAUUAGGUAGUUGGCGGGGUAACGGCCCACCAAGCCGACGAUCAGUAGCCGACCUGAGAGGGUGACCGGCCACAUUGGGACUGAGACACGGCCCAGACUCCUACGGGAGGCAGCAGUGGGGAAUAUUGCACAAUGGGGGAAACCCUGAUGCAGCGACGCCGCGUGAGCGAUGAAGUAUUUCGGUAUGUAAAGCUCUAUCAGCAGGGAAGAAAAUGACGGUACCUGACUAAGAAGCCCCGGCUAACUACGUGCCAGCAGCCGCGGU
rnacentral:rRNA from 1 species